CGAAUUGGCAGUGAUCUUUCAUUAUCGCCUAGUGAUUACGACCACCACCAACAGCGACAAUGGCAAUCCAGGCCUCCGCCACCUCCUUAUCAGUUGGUUGCGAAUGCUGCAGCAUCAUCAGGAUUCCCACAGCAAAUUAGGACUCCACAAAGCUGGCUGCAGAAAAAUGGGUUGCACUCUAUCUUGAGAACCCCAUAACCCAUAUUUAUGAAGUAGCCAUUCAAAUUUUCUUCCAUGUGACACUGUAAUCUCAUUCCUAUGGUAUCCAUGUUUUACUUCUAAGCAUAUAUAAAAAACAAUGAGAAAGGGACCUUCCCAGCAAUCCUAGAGAAACAAGAAAGAGAAAAAACAGGAGCUCUCUCUCUCUCUCUCUCUCUCUC
rnacentral:misc_RNA from 1 species